CCCAGCCAUGCCGCGUGCAGGAUGCUGCCCUAUGGGUUGUAAACUGCUUUUAUACGGGAAGAACCCCUCCGACGUGUCGGGGGCUGACGGUACCGUAUGAAUAAGCAUCGGCUAACUCCGUGCCAGCAGCCGCGGUAAUACGGAGGAUGCAGGCGUUAUCCGGAUUUAUUGGGUUUAAAGGGUGCGUAGGCGGAUUAAUAAGUCAGUGGUGAAAUCCCUCAGCUUAACUGAGGAACUGCCAUUGAUACUGUUAGUCUUGAGUAUAGUUGAGGUGGGCGGAAUGUGUCAUGUAGCGGUGAAAUGCAUAGAUAUGACACAGAACACCGAUUGCGUAGGCAGCUCACUAAACUAUCACUGACGCUGAGGCACGAAAGCGUGGGGAGCGAACAGGAUUAGAUACCUGGUAGUCCACGCUGUAAACGAUGAUUACUCGUUGUGUGCGAUAUAC
rnacentral:rRNA from 1 species